rnacentral:lncRNA from 1 species
AUGAACCACGAAGACUACUACACGAUUGAAAGAAGAAAGAUGUGUUCCUUACCACUUCUAGGACUUUAUACUUUUAUCCGGAUGACUUACGGACUUCAAACUGCCGUCUUCGCUGUGCUGGGGGACAGCGUCGAUCUGCCGUGUCCCAUCCCCUUGGUCGGACCCUGCUCCGAGGUCAACUGGAAAGUGAGCGACUCUUUCCCGGGUUUCUACACGGAGGUGGUCCGGGCGGGCUUGGUCACGGCCGACGAGCCCCCCACUGUGAGGCUGGGGGCCGGCUGCUCUCUGCACAUUGACCGCCUGGAACAGGACAGCGCGAGGACCUAUGUGUGCAGUAACGGGCGGUUCAACGCAUCACUGUCACUCGAGAUCCUCAGCAUUACUUCGGAGAAGAAAGGUGAAAUGAUGGAGAUUCAUUGUUACCUCAACGAUUUCAAAGGACUUGUCCGGUCUUGUCCCCACCAGGGAAUCCUUCUAGAGUGGCUGAGUGAAGCCAACACAGCAUUGAACAAAGAGAGAUUUUCCUUUAAGUCGCCCUCAAAGUGCUUCUCUAAAAUAAUCUUUAAGCCUAGACCGAUGGACCAUCGCAGAACGUGGAGUUGUCAACUCAGAGACAAUGACACUGUGAAAACCUCCCUGGGCUACACGCUAAACAUCACAGAUGGUAUACAGGAAGUAUUUGCACUGGUGGGUGAGUCGGUGUCAUUCUCUUGUGAUACUUCAUCCAUCGCUGGCGGUCUGGUGCAGUGGGUGGGACCCCAGCCCACCCUUGAUGGAGUCAGCCUUCCAGCCGUCACAUCUGAUAAAUCCGACUUCUCUUUGGCUGUAAGCCAGGGGCAGGCUGGGGAUUACCAGUGCUCCCCUAAUGGCGACAAAACUAAAGUCUUAGCCACAGUCCGACUGCACACACUCCACGUUUCUGCCGAGCAGGAGGGCAGUAACCUCACCCUGAGCUGUGUGCUCACCUGCGCCCUGGAGAAGUGUGAUCAGGACGUGACGUUAGAGUGGACCACGGCCAGCCGGUCCUCCCGGCUGAGGGGUCGUAACCACAUGACCCAAAACACCAUCACCUCUCGGCUGUUCACUGAGGCGGUGCAGCUCACCGGCGCCCCCACUGUGUGCUCUGUGCAUAAAGACGAGGUUCUGAUGGCGUCCGAGACGUGGCGCUCUACCAACACAGCAGCAGCGUCGCCGGCGGCGGCCUGGGCGGCCCUGCCUCUCAACCUCCUGCUGUGUGCGGCCGUCGGAGGAGGACUCUACUUCCAUUCCAAGAAGAAAACCGAGAAAGGGAGCGAAGCAGUAGGAACCGAACCGGCUCCGUUUUAUGAAGUUAUCCCGGAUGUAAAUCAAGAAAGAUAUAACGUUCAAUAUAACGCUGGAAAGUCCAACUCUGACGAUGUUUUUUAUGAUCUGCUCCAAGCUGUAGAUGAAUCCAAAGCUAAGGAACUAAUUCUAUAA